rnacentral:rRNA from 1 species
UACGGAGGGCGCGAGCGUUAAUCGGAAUUACUGGGCGUAAAGCGCGCGUAGGCUGUUGUGUAAGUUGGGGGUGAAAUCCCACGGCUCAACCGUGGAACAGCCCUUGAUACUGCGCGACUUGAAUCCGGGAGAGGGUGGCGGAAUUCCAGGUGUAGGAGUGAAAUCCGUAGAUAUCUGGAGGAACAUCAGUGGCGAAGGCGGCCACCUGGACCGGUAUUGACGCUGAGGCGCGAAAGCGUGGGGAGCAAGCAGG